GUAGCAAAAUUUAAUAAAACGUUAUUUUUGACCAUUUUGGGUGUUCAGUGUUAACGCCCUGACCGUACCAGAUUGAGUGUAAAUGGGAUUUGGCAAUAGUCGGUACCCACGACCACCAUCUCAGGUAGCAAAAUUUAAUAAAACGUUAUUUUUGACCAUUUUGGGUGUUCAGUGUUAACGCCCUGACCGUACCAGAUUGAGUGUAAAUGGGAUUUGGCAAUAGUCGGUACCCACGACCACCAUCUCAGGUAGCAAAAUUUAAUAAAACGUUAUUUUUGACCAUUUUGGGUGUUCAGUGUUAACGCCCUGACCGUACCAGAUUGAGUGUAAAUGGGAUUUGGCAAUAGUCGGUACCCACGACCACCAUCUCAGGUAGCAAAAUUUAAUAAAACGUUAUUUUUGACCAUUUUGGGUGUUCAGUGUUAACGCCCUGACCGUACCAGAUUGAGUGUAAAUGGGAUUUGGCAAUAGUCGGUACCCACGACCACCAUCUCAGGUAGCAAAAUUUAAUAAAACGUUUUUUUUGACUAUUUUGGGUGUUCAGUGUUAACGCCCUGACCGUACCAGAUUGAGUGUAAAUGGGAUUUGGCAAUAGUCGGUACCCACGACCACCCCCUCAGGUAGCAAAAUUUAAUAAAACGUCAUUUGAGAGCAUUUUGGGCAAUUCAAAUUGACAAAAAAAUUUGAUCAGCCCUGUCGUCCUCCUUAGUCACGGUUAGUCGACGACUAAGGGGCUUUAUUUUUAAGUCAAAAAAGAUUUUUCUCAAAAUAACCAUGUAAAAUGGUUAAUGUGAUUUUACCACCAUCCACGUGGUGCACAUCUUUCAAAAAAAAUCACUUCACUUCACUUCACGACCACCCCCUCAGGUGGCAAAAUGUAAUAAAACGUUAUUUUUGACCAUUUUGGGUGUUCAGUGUUAACGCCCUGACCGUACCAGAUUGAGUGUAAAUGGGAUUUGGCAAUAGUCGGUACCCACGACCACCCCCUCAGGUAGCAAAAUUUAAUAAAACGUUAUUUUUGACUAUUUUGGGUGUUCAGUGUUAACGCCCUGACCGUACCAGAUUGAGUGUAAAUGGAAUUUGGCAAUAGUCGGUACCCACGACCACCCCCUCAGGUAGCAAAAUUUAAUAAAACGUCAUUUGAGAGCAUUUUGGGCAAUUCAAAUUGACAAAAAAAUUUGAUCAGCCCUGUCGUCCUCCUUAGUCACGGUUAGUCGACGACUAAGGGGCUUUAUUUUUAAGUCAAAAAAGAUUUUUCUCAAAAUAACCAUGUAAAAUGGUUAAUGUGAUUUUACCACCAUCCACGUGGUGCACAUCUUUCAAAAAAAAUCACUUCACUUCACUUCACGACCACCCCCUCAGGUGGCAAAAUGUAAUAAAACGUUAUUUUUGACCAUUUUGGGUGUUCAGUGUUAACGCCCUGACCGUACCAGAUUGAGUGUAAAUGGGAUUUGGCAAUAGUCGGUACCCACGACCACCCCCUCAGGUAGCAAAAUUUAAUAAAACGUUAUUUUUGACCAUUUUGGGUGUUCAGUGUUAACGCCCUGACCGUACCAGAUUGAGUGUAAAUGGGAUUUGGCAAUAGUCGGUACCCACGACCACCCCCUCAGGUAGCAAAAUUUAAUAAAACGUCAUUUGAGAGCAUUUUGGGCAAUUCAAAUUGACAAAAAAAUUUGAUCAGCCCUGUCGUCCUCCUUAGUCACGGUUAGUCGACGACUAAGGGGCUUUAUUUUUAAGUCAAAAAAGAUUUUUCUCAAAAUAACCAUGUAAAAUGGUUAAUGUGAUUUUACCACCAUCCACGUGGUGCACAUCUUUCAAAAAAAAUCACUUCACUUCACUUCACGACCACCCCCUCAGGUAGCAAAAUUUAAUAAAACGUUAUUUUUGACCAUUUUGGGUGUUCAGUGUUAACGCCCUGACCGUACCAGAUUGAGUGUAAAUGGGAUUUGGCAAUAGUCGGUACCCACGACCACCCCCUCAGGUGGCAAAAUGUAAUAAAACGUUAUUUUUGACCAUUUUGGGUGUUCAGUGUUAACGCCCUGACCGUACCAGAUUGAGUGUAAAUGGGAUUUGGCAAUAGUCGGUACCCACGACCACCCCCUCAGGUAGCAAAAUUUAAUAAAACGUUAUUUUUGACCAUUUUGGGUGUUCAGUGUUAACGCCCUGACCGUACCAGAUUGAGUGUAAAUGGGAUUUGGCAAUAGUCGGUACCCACGACCACCCCCUCAGGUAGCAAAAUUUAAUAAAACGUCAUUUGAGAGCAUUUUGGGCAAUUCAAAUUGACAAAAAAAUUUGAUCAGCCCUGUCGUCCUCCUUAGUCACGGUUAGUCGACGACUAAGGGGCUUUAUUUUUAAGUCAAAAAAGAUUUUUCUCAAAAUAACCAUGUAAAAUGGUUAAUGUGAUUUUACCACCAUCCACGUGGUGCACAUCUUUCAAAAAAAAUCACUUCACUUCACUUCACGACCACCCCCUCAGGUGGCAAAAUGUAAUAAAACGUUAUUUUUGACCAUUUUGGGUGUUCAGUGUUAACGCCCUGACCGUACCAGAUUGAGUGUAAAUGGGAUUUGGCAAUAGUCGGUACCCACGACCACCAUCUCAGGUAGCAAAAUUUAAUAAAACGUUAUUUUUGACUAUUUUGGGUGUUCAGUGUUAACGCCCUGACCGUACCAGAUUGAGUGUAAAUGGGAUUUGGCAAUAGUCGGUACCCACGACCACCCCCUCAGGUAGCAAAAUUUAAUAAAACGUUAUUUUUGACCAUUUUGGGUGUUCAGUGUAAACGCCCUGACCGUACCAGAUUGAGUGUUAAUGGGAUUUGGCAAUAGUCGGUACCCACGACCACCCCCUCAGGUAGCAAAAUUUAAUAAAACGUUAUUUUUGACCAUUUUGGGUGUUCAGUGUUAACGCCCUGACCGUACCAGAUUGAGUGUAAAUGGGAUUUGGCAAUAGUCGGUACCCACGACCACCAUCUCAGGUAGCAAAAUUUAAUAAAACGUUAUUUUUGACUAUUUUGGGUGUUCAGUGUUAACGCCCUGACCGUACCAGAUUGAGUGUAAAUGGGAUUUGGCAAUAGUCGGUACCCACGACCACCCCCUCAGGUAGCAAAAUUUAAUAAAACGUCAUUUGAGAGCAUUUUGGGCAAUUCAAAUUGACAAAAAAAUUUGAUCAGCCCUGUCGUCCUCCUUAGUCACGGUUAGUCGACGACUAAGGGGCUUUAUUUUUAAGUCAAAAAAGAUUUUUCUCAAAAUAACCAUGUAAAAUGGUUAAUGUGAUUUUACCACCAUCCACGUGGUGCACAUCUUUCAAAAAAAAUCACUUCACUUCACUUCACGACCACCCCCUCAGGUGGCAAAAUGUAAUAAAACGUUAUUUUUGACCAUUUUGGGUGUUCAGUGUUAACGCCCUGACCGUACCAGAUUGAGUGUAAAUGGGAUUUGGCAAUAGUCGGUACCCACGACCACCCCCUCAGGUAGCAAAAUUUAAUAAAACGUUAUUUUUGACCAUUUUGGGUGUUCAGUGUUAACGCCCUGACCGUACCAGAUUGAGUGUAAAUGGGAUUUGGCAAUAGUCGGUACCCACGACCACCCCCUCAGGUAGCAAAAUUUAAUAAAACGUUAUUUUUGACCAUUUUGGGUGUUCAGUGUUAACGCCCUGACCGUACCAGAUUGAGUGUAAAUGGGAUUUGGCAAUAGUCGGUACCCACGACCACCAUCUCAGGUAGCAAAAUUUAAUAAAACGUUAUUUUUGACCAUUUUGGGUGUUCAGUGUUAACGCCCUGACCGUACCAGAUUGAGUGUAAAUGGGAUUUGGCAAUAGUCGGUACCCACGACCACCCCCUCAGGUAGCAAAAUUUAAUAAAACGUCAUUUGAGAGCAUUUUGGGCAAUUCAAAUUGACAAAAAAAUUUGAUCAGCCCUGUCGUCCUCCUUAGUCACGGUUAGUCGACGACUAAGGGGCUUUAUUUUUAAGUCAAAAAAGAUUUUUCUCAAAAUAACCAUGUAAAAUGGUUAAUGUGAUUUUACCACCAUCCACGUGGUGCACAUCUUUCAAAAAAAAUCACUUCACUUCACUUCACGACCACCCCCUCAGGUGGCAAAAUGUAAUAAAACGUUAUUUUUGACCAUUUUGGGUGUUCAGUGUUAACGCCCUGACCGUACCAGAUUGAGUGUAAAUGGGAUUUGGCAAUAGUCGGUACCCACGACCACCCCCUCAGGUAGCAAAAUUUAAUAAAACGUCAUUUGAGAGCAUUUUGGGCAAUUCAAAUUGACAAAAAAAUUUGAUCAGCCCUGUCGUCCUCCUUAGUCACGGUUAGUCGACGACUAAGGGGCUUUAUUUUUAAGUCAAAAAAGAUUUUUCUCAAAAUAACCAUGUAAAAUGGUUAAUGUGAUUUUACCACCAUCCACGUGGUGCACAUCUUUCAAAAAAAAUCACUUCACUUCACUUCACGACCACCCCCUCAGGUGGCAAAAUGUAAUAAAACGUUAUUUUUGACCAUUUUGGGUGUUCAGUGUUAACGCCCUGACCGUACCAGAUUGAGUGUAAAUGGGAUUUGGCAAUAGUCGGUACCCACGACCACCCCCUCAGGUAGCAAAAUUUAAUAAAACGUUAUUUUUGACCAUUUUGGGUGUUCAGUGUUAACGCCCUGACCGUACCAGAUUGAGUGUAAAUGGGAUUUGGCAAUAGUCGGUACCCACGACCACCCCCUCAGGUAGCAAAAUUUAAUAAAACGUUAUUUUUGACUAUUUUGGGUGUUCAGUGUUAACGCCCUGACCGUACCAGAUUGAGUGUAAAUGGGAUUUGGCAAUAGUCGGUACCCACGACCACCAUCUCAGGUAGCAAAAUUUAAUAAAACGUUAUUUUUGACUAUUUUGGGUGUUCAGUGUUAACGCCCUGACCGUACCAGAUUGAGUGUAAAUGGGAUUUGGCAAUAGUCGGUACCCACGACCACCAUCUCAGGUAGCAAAAUUUAAUAAAACGUUAUUUUUGACCAUUUUGGGUGUUCAGUGUUAACGCCCUGACCGUACCAGAUUGAGUGUAAAUGGGAUUUGGCAAUAGUCGGUACCCACGACCACCCCCUCAGGUAGCAAAAUUUAAUAAAACGUCAUUUGAGAGCAUUUUGGGCAAUUCAAAUUGACAAAAAAAUUUGAUCAGCCCUGUCGUCCUCCUUAGUCACGGUUAGUCGACGACUAAGGGGCUUUAUUUUUAAGUCAAAAAAGAUUUUUCUCAAAAUAACCAUGUAAAAUGGUUAAUGUGAUUUUACCACCAUCCACGUGGUGCACAUCUUUCAAAAAAAAUCACUUCACUUCACUUCACGACCACCCCCUCAGGUGGCAAAAUGUAAUAAAACGUUAUUUUUGACCAUUUUGGGUGUUCAGUGUUAACGCCCUGACCGUACCAGAUUGAGUGUAAAUGGGAUUUGGCAAUAGUCGGUACCCACGACCACCAUCUCAGGUAGCAAAAUUUAAUAAAACGUUAUUUUUGACCAUUUUGGGUGUUCAGUGUUAACGCCCUGACCGUACCAGAUUGAGUGUAAAUGGGAUUUGGCAAUAGUCGGUACCCACGACCACCAUCUCAGGUAGCAAAAUUUAAUAAAACGUUAUUUUUGACCAUUUUGGGUGUUCAGUGUUAACGCCCUGACCGUACCAGAUUGAGUGUAAAUGGGAUUUGGCAAUAGUCGGUACCCAC